CCAGGAUUUACUGACUUAAAAGCCAACCAAUCAGAGCACUCGGUGAGCCUUUAUAAAGGGACAGUACGUUUUAUUCUUGCGGCGUGGUUUUGUUUCCUUGUCAGUUUUCUGCAAUUCAGGUUUUUAUUUAACAGUAGCAUUGGGAAGUAACGAAUUAUUAUUUGACCUUUUUUGGGCUGAAUAAAAGAAGACUUUAGAAGAAAGAAGAUCUGGCAGCAGGU